CAAUAUCCGGUGCUGAACAAUCACCCAUACUCAGAGGAAGGUCAGACCCCGCUAUAAUGCAGGUGAUGAGUCAUGCCAAGCUGCACACAGAGAUGGAAGUAGGGAUGGGACCAUUUUCCCCAAUUUGAUGGAACUCUGCUUCUGAUACGGUAGGCCACAGACAUGAAUAGCUACUGAGCACUGGAAAUGGCAUGUAGUCUGGAUUGAGGUGUGCUGGCCAUGACGCUCAACCCGACAAAAGAAUACAUAGAUCCUGCUGACUGGUCAGACAUCUUUGACUUUGAAGCUAGGUGAGCGUGACCUCUUUGGCCUACCCAAGGCCCCUGGGAAAGCCUGAAAACUGUUCACUGGCUGCCCUCUGCUGGUUAAACUAGAUUGUUUUUGUUGUAAAGAACUGGACUCAAGAAGACCUAUAAAAUUCACUUAAUAUCGAUAACCAGCCAUUCCUCACAACCCUGCUGCAGAAGCUCUUUCUGCCUGUGGAUCCUGUCUCCCUGGGCUUUAAUAAAACCACCAUUUU